rnacentral:rRNA from 1 species
CCUACGGGCGGCAGCAGUGAGGAAUAUUGGUCAAUGGGCGCGAGCCUGAACCAGCCAAGUAGCGUGAAGGAUGACUGCCCUACGGGUUGUAAACUUCUUUUAUAAAGGAAUAAAGUGAGGCACGUGUGCCUUUUUGUAUGUACUUUAUGAAUAAGGAUCGGCUAACUCCGUGCCAGCAGCCGCGGUAAUACGGAGGAUCCGAGCGUUAUCCGGAUUUAUUGGGUUUAGGGGUGCGUAGGCGGAAUGCCAAGUCAGCGGUAAAAGCGCGGGGUUAAACCUCGCUCCGCGGUUGAAACUGGCGUGCUGGAGUGGGUGAGAAGUAUGCGGAAUGCGUGGUGUAGCGGUGAAAUGCAUAGAUAUCACGAAGAACUCCGAUUGCGAAGGCAGCAUACCGGAGCCCAACUGACGCUGAAGCACGAAAGCGUGGGUAUCGAACAGGAUUAGAUACCCCAGUAGUC